UGGGGAAUUUUGGACAAUGGGCGAAAGCCUGAUCCAGCAAUGCCGCGUGUGUGAAGAAGGCCUUCGGGUUGUAAAGCACUUUUGUCCGGAAAGAAAUCCUUGGCUCUAAUACAGUCGGGGGAUGACGGUACCGGAAGAAUAAGCACCGGCUAACUACGUGCCAGCAGCCGCGGUAAUACGUAGGGUGCAAGCGUUAAUCGGAAUUACUGGGCGUAAAGCGUGCGCAGGCGGUUUGCUAAGACCGAUGUGAAAUCCCCGGGCUCAACCUGGGAACUGCAUUGGUGACUGGCAGGCUAGAGUAUGGCAGAGGGGGGUAGAAUUCCACGUGUAGCAGUGAAAUGCGUAGAGAUGUGGAGGAAUACCGAUGGCGAAGGCAGCCCCCUGGGCCAAUACUGACGCUCAUGCACGAAAGCGUGGGGAGCAAAACAGGAUUAGAUACCCUGGUAGUCCACGCCCUAAAACGAUGUCAACUAGUUGUUGGGGGAUUCAUUUCCUUAGUAACGUAGCUAACGCGUGAAGUUGACCGCCUGGGGAGUACGGUCGCAAAGAUUAAAAACUCAAAGGAAUUGACGGGGUCAUAGCUGUUUCCU
rnacentral:rRNA from 1 species